GUCUACCAGGUUGUACUUCAUGUGGACCUAAGAAACCUCUAAGCUGUUCCACCAGUGUUACUGAGGAUCAACAGUGGUUUGUUGAAGCACCUGGAUUGUGUCACUGCUGGAUUUGUGAGUAGAUUUGAACAGUUAUUGGUUUGAAUGUAGUUGAUCUAUUGCUGCUUGUUCCAUGUGAGAUGUAGAGUUGUGUUCAAAGUAAUAGUGUGUUUUAA